rnacentral:misc_RNA from 1 species
CGAAACCGUGUCUGCAACG